GAUGAAGAACGCAGUGAAAUGCGAUGCGUAAUGUGAAUUGCAGAAUUCAGUGAAUCAUCGAAUCUUUGAACGCAUAUUGCGCUCUCUGGUAUUCCGGAGAGCAUGCUUGUUUGAGUAUCAGUAAACACCUCAACUUCCAUAUCUUUUUUGAAAUGGGAGUUGGACUUGAGUGAUCCCAACGCUUUUCCUCACCGAAAAGUGGCGGGUUACUUGAAAUGCAGGUGCAGCUGGACUUUUCUCUGAGCUAUAAGCAUAUCUAUUUAGUCUGCCUAAAAAACAGAUUAUUACCUUUGCUGCAGCUAACAUAAAGGAGAUUAGUUCUUGUGCUGACUGAUGCAGGAUUCACAAAGACGGCUUCGGCCGACUUUGUAAACUCGAUCUCAAAUCAAGUAAGACUACCCGCUGAACUUAAGCAUAUCAAUAAGCGGAGGA
rnacentral:misc_RNA from 1 species